GACGAACGCUGGCGGCGUGCCUAAUACAUGCAAGUAGAACGCUGAAGCGCGGAGCUUGCUCUUCUUGGAUGAGUUGCGAACGGGUGAGUAACGCGUAGGUAACCUGCCUGGUAGCGGGGGAUCACUAUUGGACACGAUAGCUAAUACCGCAUAAAAUUGUUUAUUGCAUUAUAGUUAAUUGAAAGAUGCAACUGCAUCACUACCAGAUGGACCUGCGUUGUAUUGGCUAGUUGGUGAGGUAACGGCUCACCAAGGCGACGAUACAUAGCCGACCUGAGAGGGUGAUCGGCCACACUGGGAGUGAGACACGGCCCAGACUCCUACGGGAGGCAGCAGUAGGGAAUCGUCGGCAAUGGGGGGAACCCUGACCGCGCAACGCCGCGGGAGUGAAGAAGGUUUUCGGGUCGUAAAGCACUGUUGUAAGAGAAGAACGGGUGUGAGAGUGGAAAGUUCACACUGUGACGGUAUCUGAUCAGAAAGGGACGGCUAACUACGUG
rnacentral:rRNA from 1 species